rnacentral:rRNA from 1 species
GACGAACGCUGGCGGCGUGCUUAACACAUGCAAGUCGAACGGAAAGGCCCUGCUUUUGUGGGGUGCUCGAGUGGCGAACGGGUGAGUAACACGUGAGUAACCUGCCCUUGACUUUGGGAUAACUUCAGGAAACUGGGGCUAAUACCGGAUAGGAGCUCCUGCUGCAUGGUGGGGGUUGGAAAGUUUCGGCGGUUGGGGAUGGACUCGCGGCUUAUCAGCUUGUUGGUGGGGUAGUGGCUUACCAAGGCUUUGACGGGUAGCCGGCCUGAGAGGGUGACCGGCCACAUUGGGACUGAGAUACGGCCCAGACUCCUACGGGAGGCAGCAGUGGGGAAUAUUGCACAAUGGGCGGAAGCCUGAUGCAGCAACGCCGCGUGCGGGAUGACGGCCUUCGGGUUGUAAACCGCUUUCGCCUGUGACGAAGCGUGAGUGACGGUAAUGGGUAAAGAAGCACCGGCUAACUACGUGCCAGCAGCCGCGGUGAUACGUAGGGUGCGAGCGUUGUCCGGAUUUAUUGGGCGUAAAGGGCUCGUAGGUGGUUGAUCGCGUCGGAAGUGUAAUCUUGGGGCUUAACCCUGAGCGUGCUUUCGAUACGGGUUGACUUGAGGAAGGUAGGGGAGAAUGGAAUUCCUGGUGGAGCGGUGGAAUGCGCAGAUAUCAGGAGGAACACCAGUGGCGAAGGCGGUUCUCUGGGCCUUUCCUGACGCUGAGGAGCGAAAGCGUGGGGAGCGAACAGGCUUAGAUACCCUGGUAGUCCACGCUGUAAACGGUGGGUACUGGGUGUGGGGUCCAUUCCACGGGUUCCGUGCCGUAGCUAACGCUUUAAGUACCCCGCCUGGGGAGUACGGCCGCAAGGCUAAAACUCAAAGGAAUUGACGGGGCCCCGCACAAGCGGCGGAGCAUGCGGAUUAAUUCGAUGCAACGCGUAGAACCUUACCUGGGUUUGACAUGGAUCGGGAGUGCUCAGAGAUGGGUGUGCCUCUUUUGGGGUCGGUUCACAGGUGGUGCAUGGCUGUCGUCAGCCCGUGUCGUGAGAUGUUGGGUUAAGUCCCGCAACGAGCGCAACCCUUGUUCACUGUUGCCAGCACGUUAUGGUGGGGACUCAGUGGAGACCGCCGGGGUCAACUCGGAGGAAGGUGGGGAUGACGUCAAGUCAUCAUGCCCCUUAUGUCCAGGGCUUCACGCAUGCUACAAUGGCUGGUACAGAGAGUGGCGAGCCUGUGAGGGUGAGCGAAUCUCGGAAAGCCGGUCUCAGUUCGGAUUGGGGUCUGCAACUCGACCUCAUGAAGUCGGAGUCGCUAGUAAUCGCAGAUCAGCAACGCUGCGGUGAAUACGUUCCCGGG